rnacentral:rRNA from 1 species
GACGUAGGAUGCAAGCGUUGUCCGGAAUUAUUGGGCGUAAAGAGCUCGUAGGCGGCCUGUUGCGUCCGCUGUGAAAUCCCAGGGCUUAACCCUGGGCGUGCAGUGGAUACGGGCAGGCUGGAGGCAGGCAGGGGAGAACGGAAUUCCCGGUGUAGCGGUGAAAUGCGCAGAUAUCGGGAGGAACACCGGUGGCGAAGGCGGUUCUCUGGGCCUGUGCUGACGCUGAGGAGCGAAAGCGUGGGGAGCGAACAGG